ensembl:snoRNA
GGCACAUGAUGUCUGUUUUCACGAUGGUCUUCAGACAGCCCGAGGGGCACUGCUGAGAGCGAUUGGCACAGCUGAUGCCAGAGG